GACGAACGCUGGCGGCGUGCUUAACACAUGCAAGUCGAACGGAAAGGCCCUGCUUUUGUGGGGUGCUCGAGUGGCGAACGGGUGAGUAACACGUGAGUAACCUGCCCUUGACUUUGGGAUAACUUCAGGAAACUGGGGCUAAUACCGGAUAGGAGCUCCUGCUGCAUGGUGGGGGUUGGAAAGUUUCGGCGGUUGGGGAUGGACUCGCGGCUUAUCAGCUUGUUGGUGGGGUAGUGGCUUACCAAGGCUUUGACGGGUAGCCGGCCUGAGAGGGUGACCGGCCCCAUGGGGAUACGGAUAGCACCAGGGCUCCAUGGGGGGCAAGGGGUGGGGAAUUUGGCCAGAGAGGCGGCGGGCAGAAGCAGGACCGCCGGGUGGGGGAUGGCGGCUGUGGGGUUGGAAACCGCUUUCGCUUGUACCGAGGGGUAAUGACGGGAAAGGGAGAAAAAACACCCGCUAACUACGGG
rnacentral:rRNA from 1 species